UACGUAGGGGGCAAGCGUUGUCCGGAAUUAUUGGGCGUAAAGAGCGCGUAGGCGGUCCGAUAAGUCGGCUGUGAAAGUCAGGGGCUCAACCCUUGAAAGCCGGCCGAUACUGUCGGACUAGAGUCCGGAAGAGGCAAGUGGAAUUCCCGGUGUAGCGGUGAAAUGCGCAGAUAUCGGGAGGAACACCAAUGGCGAAGGCAGCUUGCUGGGACGGUACUGACGCUGAGGCGCGAAGGCGUGGGGAGCAAACAGG
rnacentral:rRNA from 1 species